rnacentral:rRNA from 1 species
UAGUCUGCAACCCGACUACAUGAAGCUGGAAUCGCUAGUAAUCGCGAAUCAGAAUGUCGCGGUGAAUACGUUCCCGGGUCUUGUACACACCGCCCGUCACACCAUGGGAGUCGGAAAUGCCCGAAGUCAGUGACCCAACCGUAAGGAGGGAGCUGCCGAAGGUGGAGCCGGUAACUGGGGUGAAGUCGUAACAAGGUAUC